rnacentral:lncRNA from 1 species
AGGAGAUGCAAUAUAACUUUAAUAUCUGUAUAAUCUUUAUAUUAAACACUCAUAUAUAAAGAGGUGUAAGCCAUAUAUAGAAUAUACUAUAUACAAUGUAAUUGUCAAAAACAUUAUAGUGUCUCUCAAUUAUAAAAACAAAAUUGUAAUAAACUACUUUGCCCAACAUGGCCAGCCCUUAGAUCAUGUAAAUUUGAAUAAAAUAUGUUUAUUUAAUCUAUCUGAGGAUCAUG